rnacentral:rRNA from 1 species
GGCUAAAACAGUCAGGAUGUUGGCUUAGAAGCAGCCAUCAUUUAAAGAAAGCGUAAUAGCUCACUGAUCGAGUCGUCCUGCGCGGAAGAUGUAACGGGGCUAAGCCAGUCACCGAAGCUGCGGAUAUCCUUUAUUGGAUAUGGUAGGAGAGCGUUCUGUAAGCCUGCGAAGGUGUCUUGUAAAGGAUGCUGGAGGUAUCAGAAGUGCGAAUGCUGACAUGAGUAGCGAUAAUGGGGGUGAAAAGCCUCCACGCCGUAAGCCCAAGGUUUCCUGUUCAACGUUCAUCGGAGCAGGGUGAGUCGGCCCCUAAGGCGAGGCAGAGAUGCGUAGCUGAUGGGAAGCAGGUUAAUAUUCCUGCACCGUCGUAUGAUGCGAUGGGGGGACGGAUCGCGGAAGGUUGUCCAACUGUUGGAAUAGUUGGUUUUUGGCUCAUAGAAGGUACUUAGGCAAAUCCGGGUACGGAAUUCAAGGGGUUGAGACGAGUGAACUUGUUCACGAAGCAAUCGGAAGUGGUUCCAAGAAAAGCCUCUAAGCUUCAGUCAUACGAGACCGUACCGCAAACCGACACAGGUGGGCGAGAUGAGUAUUCUAAGGCGCUUGAGAG